rnacentral:tRNA from 1 species
GGCCGCGUGGCCUAAUGGCUAAGGCGCUAGAUUUCGGUUCCGAUACACCUUCUCUAGAGAUUCCAGGUUCGACUCCUGGCGUGGUCG